CUGUAAGCCUGUGAAGGUGUGCUGUGAGGCAUGCUGGAGGUAUCAGAAGUGCGAAUGCUGACAUAAGUAACGAUAAAGCGGGUGAAAAGCCCGCUCGCCGGAAGACCAAGGGUUCCUGUCCAACGUUAAUCGGGGCAGGGUGAGUCGACCCCUAAGGCGAGGCCGAAAGGCGUAGUCGAUGGGAAACAGGUUAAUAUUCCUGUACUUGGUGUUACUGCGAAGGGGGGACGGAGAAGGCUAUGUUGGCCGGGCGACGGUUGUCCCGGUUUAAGCGUGUAGGCUGGUUUUCCAGGCAAAUCCGGAAAAUCAAGGCUGAGGCGUGAUGACGAGGCACUACGGUGCUGAAGCAACAAAUGCCCUGCUUCCAGGAAAAGCCUCUAAGCAUCAGGUAACAUCAAAUCGUACCCCAAACCGACACAGGUGGUCAGGUAGAGAAUACCAAGGCGCUUGAGAGAACUCGGGUGAAGGAACUAGGCAAAAUGGUGCCGUAACUUCGGGAGAAGGCACGCUGAUAUGUAGGUGAAGUCCCUCGCGGAUGGAGCUGAAAUCAGUCGAAGAUACC
rnacentral:rRNA from 1 species